rnacentral:rRNA from 1 species
CCCUUAGAUGUUCUGGGCCGCACGCGCGCUACACUGAUGCAUUCAACGAGCCUAGCCUUGACCGAGAGGUCCGGGUAAUCUUUGAAACUGCAUCGUGAUGGGGCUAGAUUAUUGCAAUUAUUAAUCUUCAACGAGGAAUGCCUAGUAAGCGUGAUUCAUCAAAUCGCGUUGAUUACGUCCCUGCCCUUUGUACACACCGCCCGUCGCUCCUACCGAUUGAGUGUGUUGGUGAGGAGUUCGGAUUGGCUCUUAGUGGUGGUUCGCCACCACCUAGAGCUGAGAAGUUCUCCAAACCGCCCCACCUAGAGGAAGGAGAAGUCGUAACA